UUUUGGUUUCUAUAUGCUUUGAAAGCCACUAAAAUUGAAAUCUCUCUGUGCGCACGCACACGUAAUGUAAUAUAUUUAUUUUCCUCCAUCCAUUCUGGGAAAAAAUGAUUUUAGGUAUAGGAUUGCAGAUUCGUCAUUGGUGGAUUAGUUUUGUCAACACAGAAUUUUAUUGAAAAGAUGUUACGUUGGGAUUAAUAGUAAGAUCCAAAGAAGAUGGGUGGCAUGUAAGCCAAGGCAAGAUCCAUAUGGGUAUUGUAGAGCUUUUAGGUUUGAGACAUGGGUUGAGCCUAAUAAAAUUUCAAAAUGGCAUCCAGCCCCUAGAUCAAUCAAUAACAAUAUGUAGAGCAUAGGUUAAGAAAAGCCUUAGAUGAGGCACUAGGGAACAUGAGGAGCUGAUCGAAAGCUUAAAAGCAUUGUUACAACUACAACCACCACAAAGUCCUCAUCCCACAGUGGUGUCCUCAAAAGCCUCUGGUUAGUGAAAAUGAAAAAUGAAUAUGAGAGAAUGAGAACAAACAUAGACAACAGAAAGGGGAAACAAUGGAGAAAAGGUGGCAAUUGUGUGGCCACCUGACAGUCAAAAAAUGUAAAAACAGGGAAAAGUCGGAAGCAACUUACGGUGAGGGGUUUCCAGGUCCUUUCGCAGUAUUAUCUUAACAAGGUUAUUUAACUUGAAGAUAACCUCAUGACAUUCUAUUGGAUUUUUCCGCUGCUCAGAAAAUUCUAAAUCAAAGUGUCCCAACUUCACAUCAAGAUUUAAAGAUUUUUUUAUUCAUAACAUGUAAGGGCAAUAAGUACCAGCAAGCAAACAUGUAUUCUACGUGUAGUCAUGUGAGAAAUAAUGUAUUAGUUUGAAAUCUAGGCGCUGUGAUUUAUUUGAGAAUUCAUAAACCAAAUGUGUUUUACCUGCUAUGGCAUUACUUUUUACCAAUGUUGGUGGUAUAAACUACAUUGCUUGCUUAUAGCGGUAGAUUGUACCCUUCUAAUGUAGUUCAUUUUUGUGUGAUUUGGUUGGUUGAUAUUGGGAGUUUCAUCUUUGCUUAUCUUAUUGUGUACCAGCAGUGAUUGUCAACUUUCAUUGUAACAGCUUGUGGCUCUAAAUGAUUUAUUUUUUGGUGGAUGUACGUCAUUUAAAUGCUUAUUAUAUUGUAGGUUCUUGAACCCUAAUUGAGCUUGCAUUUUUUUUUU